rnacentral:lncRNA from 1 species
AUUAAAAUGCAAGAUCAGGCCAGCUACAAGUAGGAAACAGAAACAGAACUCCUCAUCGAUGCCUGCUUGUGGAACUGGAGCAGGAGGACUCACGAGCUCUAAGCUCAGAGUUAUUGGGAGAUUUUUUUCCUGGACAAAUCUCCAGUAACUUCUUGGAGCUCAGUGCUGCACGUGAGGAGGCUGCACGUGUUCAGACAACCUCCCAGGUUGUGUGAAGCAGGGGCCAAAUCCUCAUACAGACCAAGCUUCUUCAAAUUAACAGAAAUC